rnacentral:rRNA from 1 species
UCGAGAAUCAUUCGCAAUGGUCGCAAGCCUGACGGUGCGACGUCGCGUGGAGGAUGAAGGUCUUCGGAUUGUAAACUCCUGUCAUGUGGGAUAAAUGGCCAGGGCAUGAAUAGUGCCUUGGAAUGAUAGUACCACAGGAGGAAGGGACGGCUAACCCUGUGCCAGCAGCCGCGGUAAUUCAGAGGUCCCGAGCGUUGUUCGGAUUUACUGGGCGUAAAGGGAGCGUAGGCGGUUUGGUGUGUCGAAUGUGAAAGCCCACAACUCAACUGUGGAAUGGCAUUCGAAACUACUGAGCUAGAGUACUGGAGAGGAGAGCGGAAUUCUUGGUGUAGCGGUGAAAUGCGUAGAUAUCAAGAGGAACACCGGUGGCGAAGGCGGCUCUCUGGACAGAUACUGACGCUGAGGCUCCAAAGUUAGGGGAGCAAACAG